rnacentral:rRNA from 1 species
GAUGAACGCUAGCGGCAGGCCUAAUACAUGCAAGUCGAACGGUGUCUUCGGACAUAGUGGCGCACGGGUGCGUAACACGUAUGCAACCUACCUUACAUUGGGGGAUAGCCUCUCGAAAGGGAGAUUAAUACCGCAUAAGACAGUAGCUGGGCAUCCAGCAGCUGUUAAAGAUUUAUCGAUGUAAGCUGGGCAUGCGUCCAAUUAGCUAGUUGGUGAGGUAACGGCUCACCCAGGCAAUGAUUGGUAGGGGAACUGAGAGGUCAAUCCCCCACACUGGCACUGAGAUACGGGCCAGACUCCUACGGGAGGCAGCAGUAGGGAAUAUUGGGCAAUGGACGCAAGUCUGACCCAGCCAGGCCGCGUGCAGGAUGAAGGCGUUAUGCGUUGUAAACUGCUUUUAUACAGGAAGAAACGACUCUUGCGAGAGGCAUUGACGGUACUGUAUGAAUAAGCACCGGCUAACUCCGUGCCAGCAGCCGCCGCCGUAA